ACUUGAAUAGCUUAUAAAGAGCAUGAUAUUGAAGAUAUCAAGGAAAUUGUUAAUUUUCAAGUA
rnacentral:tRNA from 1 species